CAUACUAUAUCUUAUUUUUGUAAAAUAGAACAAGAAGCUUUCCGAGAUGAAUAUUCACCUAGAAUAAUCAUUAUGUUCAUCACUAUGGUCAACAGAGCUAUGAGUUAGCAGGAAAGUGACUGUCAUCUGAGUGCACAGAGUGGCUGUUCAGUCCAGAACAGGAUUCCUCAAAGAGGAGUUUAAAAUAUGAUUUAGUAUAGUUUUCUUCAUGUUCUUUUAGUACAAAGAUGCUCUAGGAAAUAACAUAGAAAAUGAAUCACAAACUGAUUUAUGUCAGAUUUAUUAAAGUAAUCUGUAAUGGAGACCUGGAUGAGGAUCAGAUAUGCACAGAAUAAACAGCUGUGUGCUUUGGUGCUCUGUGAGCAUA